rnacentral:tRNA from 1 species
GUUCUCAUAGUUGAAUAACAACAGCGGUUCUUCAAGUCGCUGGUCUUGGUUAAAAUCCAGGUGGGAACU